GACACAGCCCAAUGCACUUCCCCAGUGAGGCUCUGACACCACCUGACUCCAGACCAACCCCUUUCCAUCCCAAAGGCAGUGGGAUUGGCAGUGAAGAGCCUUUGCCUCAACAGAUUCCCCCAAAUCACACAAAUAACACCCCCCGCCCCCACCCCCCCACCGCCUGCCCUCUGAUGGGGCAGCACCCAGCGGCUGGCGCCUGUCUGUCCGCAGAUCUUCCAGGUUCCUCCCGCCCGCUCUGUCUCUCCGCCUCCACGUCCCACUCUGUCUCCGAUCCCCUGUCCUGCUCUGUCUCUGUCCA
rnacentral:lncRNA from 10 species